ACCUUGAAGUGAAGGCAGUUUUGAUGUUUGAAAUAUUUGUUGAUGUGAGUUUGUGAUUAACAAGUUUAAGAAUGGUAUGUUGCAGAAAUUCUGGCAGAUGCGAAUGUAAGCUUGAUGGCAUCAUUUUCAUAUAACUGCUUGAAAUGCAUAUAUGCCACUAUCAGCAUUGAGCGUCUCGUGAACUGUCAAAUGUCAUAUAGGCCUCACACAGUUGAAAAUAGUGAAAAAAGUAAUCGGUUGACAGGUCUGCAUCUCGUAAGAUAUCGGAAGCCGUCUGACUUGGCCACAUCGCUCGGAAGUCCGAAGUACUAGAAAAAACCGCCAUCUGCUACCUUAAGACAUUUGUCAAUUUUUGUCUGCAUCUCGUAAGAUAUCGGAAGCCGUCUGACUUGGCCACAUCGCUCGGAAGUCCGAAGUACUAGAAAAAACCGCCAUCUGCUACCUUAAGACAUUUGUCAAUUUUUGUCUGCAUCUCGUAAGAUAUCGGAAGCCGUCUGACUUGGCCACAUCGCUCGGAAGUCCGAAGUACUAGAAAAAACCGCCAUCUGCUACCUUAAGACAUUUGUCAAUUUUUGUCUGCAUCUCGUAAGAUAUCGGGGAAGCCGUCUGACUUGGCCACAUCGCUCGGAAGUCCGAAGUACUAGAAAAAACCGCCAUCUGCUACCUUAAGACAUUUGUCAAUUUUUGUCUGCAUCUCGUAAGAUAUCGGAAGCCGUCUGACUUGGCCACAUCG